GCAGGCGUAGUAUAAUGGUUAUUAUGUGACCUUGCCAAGGUUAAGAUGCCAGUUCGAUUCUGGUCGCUUGCUCCA
rnacentral:tRNA from 1 species